UACGUAGGGGGCGAGCGUUGUCCGGAUUUAUUGGGCGUAAAGAGCUCGUAGGCGGCUUGGCAAGUCGGGUGUGAAACCUCCAGCUCAACCUGGAGACGCCACUCGAUACUGCCAUGGCUAGAGUCCGGUAGGGGACCACGGAAUUCCUGGUGUAGCGGUGAAAUGCGCAGAUAUCAGGAGGAACACCAGUGGCGAAGGCGGCUUUCUGGACGAUAACUGACGCUGAGACGCGAAAGCGUGGGGAGCAAACAGG
rnacentral:rRNA from 1 species